rnacentral:rRNA from 1 species
CGACGUGAGGGAACCUGCCUUUCAGAGGGGGGACAACAGUUGGAAACGACUGCUAAUACCGCAUAACACAUAGGUGUCGCAUGGCAUUUAUGUCAAAGAUUUAUCGCUGAAAGAUGGCCUCGCGUCUGAUUAGCUAGUUGGUGAGGUAACGGCUCACCAAGGCGACGAUCAGUAGCCGGACUGAGAGGUUGGCCGGCCACAUUGGGACUGAGAUACGGCCCAGACUCCUACGGAAGGCAGCAG